rnacentral:rRNA from 1 species
UACGGAGGGUGCGAGCGUUGUUCGGAAUCACUGGGCGUAAAGCGCGUGUAGGCGGCCCAUUAAGUCUGAUGUGAAAGCCCGGGGCUCACCCCCGGAAGUGCAUUGGAAACUGAUGGACUCGAGUCCCGGAGAGGAGAGUGGAAUUCCUGGUGUAGCGGUGAAAUGCGUAGAUAUCUGGAGGAACACCGGUGGCGAAGGCGGCAUCCUGGACCGGCAUUGACGCUGAGGCGCGAAAGCUAGGGGAGCAAACGGG